rnacentral:rRNA from 1 species
CACCUACGGGGCGCAGCAGUCGGGAAUAUUGCGCAAUGGAGGAAACUCUGACGCAGUGACGCCGCGUGCAGGAAGAAGGUUUUCGGUAUGUAAAGCUCUAUCAGCAGGGAAGAAAAUGACGGUACCUGACUAAGAAGCCCCGGCUAACUACGUGCCAGCAGCCGCGGUAAUACGUAGGGGGCAAGCGUUAUCCGGAUUUACUGGGUGUAAAGGGAGCGUAGACGGCUGUGCAAGCCAGAUGUGAAAGCCCGGGGCUCAACCCCGGGACUGCAUUUGGAACUGUGUGGCUGGAGUGUCGGAGAGGC